rnacentral:misc_RNA from 1 species
GUUGCUUUCUAAGUGCAAAUUCGCAGUUUUUGGAGUUGGAAGCACAGCUUACGGCGGCACUUUCAAUGCCGUGGCUAAAGAUUUUUCGAGGCGAUUGAGGGAAUUGGGCGCCAACGAGAUUGUUGAGGUUGGGAAGGGUGACGUGGAUGGUGGUGAACUGGAUGGGAUUUUUGACCAAUGGAGUGGGAAGGUGCUUAGGAUUUUGAAGGGAGGUAGCAUGCAGAAUGGACUGGUUUUUAGUAAUGGAUGUACCGGUGGUGAGAGCGAUAACGAGAACAUUGAAGAUGGGUUUGAAAGUGAAGAUGACGAGAAUGGUGAUGUGGAGUCGGGGAUCGUCGACCUUGAGGAUAUUGCGGGUAAAGGGCCUUCAAGGAGAUCUAAUACAGUGGCUGAAGUUAACGGGAAAGCGAAUGGCCAAAAAGAAAUGGUGACUCCAGUGAUCAGGGCCAACUUAGAAAAGCAGGGAUACAAGAUUAUUGGUUCACACAGUGGUGUUAAGAUUUGUCGAUGGACCAAAUCACAACUUAGAGGGCGAGGAGGUUGCUACAAGCACUCAUUUUAUGGAAUAGAAAGUCACAGGUGCAUGGAGGCAACUCCAAGUUUGGCUUGUGCCAACAAAUGCGUUUUUUGUUGGAGGCAUCACACAAAUCCUGUGGGAAAGAACUGGCAGUGGAAGAUGGAUGAUCCCCUAGAAAUUGUGAAUUCUGCCAUAGAUCAGCAUACAAAGAUGAUUAAGCAAAUGAAAGGGGUUCCAGGUGUUACACAGGAACGAUUGACUGAAGGACUCUCUCCAAGGCAUUGUGCUCUGUCACUUGUUGGUGAACCUAUCAUGUAUCCAGAGAUUAAUAAACUUGUUGAUGAGCUCCACCGAAGGCAGAUAUCAACUUUUCUGGUGACAAAUGCGCAGUUCCCUGAAAAGAUAAAAAUGCUAAAGCCUGUCACCCAGUUAUAUGUCAGUGUGGAUGCUGCAACGAAGGAUAGCUUGAAGGCAAUUGAUAGGCCUCUAUUUGGGGACUUUUGGGAGCGCUUUAUUGAUUCGUUGAAAUCUCUAAAGGAGAAACAGCAGCGGACUGUUUAUCGCUUGACACUGGUGAAAGGUUGGAAUACAGAGGAUGUAGAUGCUUAUUUUAACCUCUUUAAAAUUGGACAGCCUGAUUUUAUCGAAAUUAAAGGCGUUACAUAUUGUGGAUCGUCUGCUACAUCAAAGUUGACAAUGGAGAAUGUGCCCUGGCAUUCUGAUGUCAAAGCUUUCUCAGAGGCCUUAGCUCUGAAAAGCAAAGGAGAAUAUGAGGUUGCUUGUGAGCACGCCCACUCAUGUUGUGUCCUCUUGGCAAAAACUGAGAAGUUCAAGGUCAAUGGCCAAUGGUUUACAUGGAUAGACUAUGAAAGUUUCCAUGAUCUGGUUGCUUCUGGAAAACCUUUCAAUAGCAUGGAUUACAUGGCUGCCACACCAUCCUGGGCAGUUUAUGGAGCACAAGAGGGUGGAUUUGAUCCAGAUCAGUCUCGAUACAGGAAGGAGCGACAUCAUAGGUCAAGCCACUGACCAAACAGGC